GAUGAACGCUGGCUACAGGCUUAACACAUGCAAGUCGAGGGGAAACGACGGGGAAGCUUGCUUCCCCGGGCGUCGACCGGCGCACGGGUGAGUAACGCGUAUCCAACCUGCCUCUGACUGAGGGAUAACCCGUCGAAAGUCGGCCUAAUACCUCAUGGCAUCGUCUGCGGGCAUCCAACGACGAUUAAAGAUUUCAUCGGUCAGGGAUGGGGAUGCGUCUGAUUAGCUUGUUGGCGGGGUAACGGCCCACCAAGGCUACGAUCAGUAGGGGUUCUGAGAGGAAGGUCCCCCACAUUGGAACUGAGACACGGUCCAAACUCCUGCGGGAGGCAGCAGUGAGGAAUAUUGGUCAAUGGGCGGGAGCCUGAACCAGCCAAGUAGCGUGCAGGAUGACGGCCCUAUGGGUUGUAAACUGCUUUUAUGCGGGGAUAAAGUGAGGGACGUGUCCUUCAUUGCAGGUACCGCAUGAAUAAGGACCGGCUAAUUCCGUG
rnacentral:rRNA from 1 species